UGGCGGCCGUUGAAAAUGUUCUAUUCGUCAGUGUUGGACAACCAGCGCCAGUCUGGCGAUGUCUUUUCUCCAAGGAAGAGUGUUGUUGGCAUGAUUCCCACUCGAUUAGAUUGUUUUUACAAGUUCGCUUUAGCGUUAGUCGUUUUAACUGAGUGCAGUUCAAAUGACGUUGGUUAUGUAACAGCUCGCGUACUACUCAAAAGUUGGCGGAGGAAAGCGGAAGAACAACGCGCAAAUUUUUUCAAUCGUCUACCGAAAAAUGUGGAAUCCUCGUACACGACACCCGAAGUGAUAAAAAAUCGAGGCUACCCGGUGGAAACUCGUCAUGUGGCCACAGACGAUGGAUACAUUUUAGAGCUUCAUCGCAUCCCACCACAAUCAUCGACAGGCCCUAAGAGUGUCGUGCUCUUAAUGCACGGUGUGCUAGAAUCUUCCGGCACUUGGCUCGUCAAUCCUUCCAGUCGUUCCCUCGCGAUGCUGCUGGCAUCUCAGUCGUACGACGUAUGGCUCGGUAAUUUCCGGGGCAACAGGUACGCAAGAAAACAUGUUAGCCUAAAUCCCAAAAGAGCCCAGUUUUGGAAAUUUAGUUGGGACGAAAUCGGGGAUCACGAUAUUCCAGCCAUCAUCAAUUACAUAUUAAAAGAAACUGGACGAUCGAAGUUGUCUUACAUUGGACAUUCGUUAGGAUGUGGAGUGUUUUUCAUCGCCAUGAUCAAACACCCGGAACUCAACGCAAAAAUUGAUGCCAUGGUUGGCCUAGCGCCCUUAUCGUCCUUUGCACAUUUCACCACUGCACUAUUUCGCAUCUUGGCUCCGUUUGGUAAACUUUUUGAGGCUAUUCUCAAGUCGAUUGGAACUUGGGGAUGGCUUGAUAGCCAAGGUAUCCCCGAUAUUUUGUACGACCUCAUUUGUGAACAAACGUAUCACCAAGCGCGAUUUUGCAGACACUUGUUCAAUGCAAUUGCAGGACCGAACCCGGAUAAUCUCGAUUUAGCAAGAUUUAAUACCGUUAAUGGGGUCCAAUUAUUUGAUGGGAACUUCAGUACCUGUUAUAGCCCAAUUUGCGCAAAAUUAUGCUGCAGGCGAAAUAUUUCAGGCUUACGAUUACGGAUGGAAAGGUAACCUCAUGCGAUACGGAUCAACCAAACCGUUGAAAUAUGACCUAAGAAAGGUUACGGCUCCGGUGUAUGUCUUCUCAGGAGGAAAUGACCGUAUAGUAACCCCAUUGGACGUAGAUUGGCUUCUGACGCAACUCGGAAACCUUAAGGCUUCUACACGUAUUAGCAAUUAUAACCACUUUGAUUUCCUAUG
rnacentral:misc_RNA from 1 species